GACGAACGCUGGCGGCGCGCUUAACACAUGCAAGUCGAACGGUGAAGCGCCUUCCUUUUUGGUGGGUGUGGAUGAGUGGCGAACGGGUGAGUAACACGUGAGUAACCUGCCCCCUUCUUCUGGAUAACCGCAUGAAAGUGUGGCUAAUACGGGAUAUUCUGGGUCUGUCGCAUGAUGGGUCUGGGAAAGAUAUUGUUUCGGUGGGGGAUGGGCUCGCGGCCUAUCAGCUUGUUGGUGGGGUGAUGGCCUACCAAGGCGGUGACGGGUAGCCGGCCUGAGAGGGUGGACGGUCACACUGGGACUGAGACACGGCCCAGACUCCUACGGGAGGCAGCAGUGGGGAAUAUUGCACAAUGGGCGCAAGCCUGAUGCAGCGACGCCGCGUGAGGGAUGGAGGCCUUCGGGUUGUGAACCUCUUUCGCCAGUGAAGCAGGCCUGCCUCGUUUGUGGGUGGGUUGACGGUAGCUGGAGAAGAAGCGCCGGCUAACUACGUG
rnacentral:rRNA from 1 species